rnacentral:rRNA from 1 species
CCUACGGGUGGCAGCAGUGGGGGAUAUUGCACAAUGGGGGGAACCCUGAUGCAGCGACGCCGCGUGGGUGAAGAAGGGCCUCGGCGCGUAAAGCCCUGUCAGCAGGGAAGAAAAUGACGGUACCUGAAGAAGAAGCCCCGGCUAACGACGUGCCAGCAGCCGCGGUAAUACGUAGGGGGCAAGCGUUAUCCGGAUUUACUGGGUGUAAAGGGGGCGCAGACGGCGAUGCAAGCCAGGGGUGCAAGCCCGGGGCGCAACCCCGGGAUUGCACUGGGAACUGCGUGGCUGGAGUGCAGGAGGGGCAGGCGGAAUUCCUGGUGUAGCGGUGAAAUGCGUAGAUAUCAGGAGGAACACCGGUGGCGAAGGCAGCCUGCUGGACUGGAACUGACGUUGAGGCCCGAAAGUGUGGGGAGCAAACAGGAUUAGAUACCCUGGUAGUC